rnacentral:rRNA from 1 species
AACGAACGCUGGCGGCGUGGAUAAGACAUGCAAGUCGAGCGGAGAUGAGGUGCUUGCACCUUAUCUUAGCGGCGGACGGGUGAGUAAUGCUUAGGAAUCUGCCUAUUAGUGGGGGACAACAUUCCGAAAGGAAUGCUAAUACCGCAUACGCCCUACGGGGGAAAGCAGGGGAUCUUCGGACCUUGCGCUAAUAGAUGAGCCUAAGUCGGAUUAGCUAGUUGGUGGGGUAAAGGCCUACCAAGGCGACGAUCUGUAGCGGGUCUGAGAGGAUGAUCCGCCACACUGGGACUGAGACACGGCCCAGACUCCUACGGGAGGCAGCAGUGGGGAAUAUUGGACAAUGGGGGGAACCCUGAUCCAGCCAUGCCGCGUGUGUGAAGAAGGCCUUAUGGUUGUAAAGCACUUUAAGCGAGGAGGAGGCUACUGAGACUAAUACUCUUGGAUAGUGGACGUUACUCGCAGAAUAAGCACCGGCUAACUCUGUGCCAGCAGCCGCCGUAACAC